CAUAAUCUGAUAGAUCUGUAAACUUCUUACUUUGCAGUGCUAACGGGAAAGCAAAUAUUAAAGAUUUUUUUUUUUUUUUAGUAUGUCUUUGCCUACUGUAUAUUCUGAAACUUUCAGAAUCUCUCUAAAAAAAAAAAAAGUUAUUUUUUAAAAUCUGGAGUUAAUUGCAGCAAAGAACGAUUUACAGGUUUGCUGCCAAUUUCCUCCCACACUGUCCUGCUUCAGCGUCCCAUUUUUUCAGGGUUGGGCAUUUUCUAAAGAAUCUCCAUGUGUCUUUUCUGCUUUGUUUAGGUCCUGGUUUCUUUAUCUCGGUGCCAGGAUGGCUGCUCCGGCUCCAGACAUCACAUCUGCCUUCCAGUCUGGAGGAAGCCGAGACGGUCAGCAAAGGAAUAACUGGCUGACGGCACUGUAUUCUAAAGAAGUGAAAUUCCAAAGGUACCAAGUCUCCUUCUGGACGACUUUCAGAAGUUAGAAGCUCGUCCAUGUUUUUCUGAUUCUUCAUGGUAACAACACUUCGUUGACCAAAGAAGUGAUUUGCCCAAGAUCAGCACCCCUGGGGUGGAGAAAUACACUGAGACUUCGGAGAGUGAUUGGUUGUAACCUGCGCACCAGGAGCCCACGCCCUUCAGUGGCCUCUGGCGGCGCAGAGACGACUGGAUGGGGCUGCAGACGCUCCAGGACACCCCACGUUGACAUCAGUGCGCCCCAGCAGGAAACCGGCACACGCAGCACGACUGAGGCAGCUUAGUGGAGGCUCCAGAAUGUGGCUGAAAGGUUUUGGCUACCGUAAAUAAAACCGGCAGAACCUUCUUGUGCAAGACUGUCUGUGAACGUGGGUUUGAGCUGCUGGCAAGGAUUGGAACCGAGUGCUGGCGACGCUCCACGGGUCUCUCUUCUUUUCAAGCCGGUUCCCACCGCUGCAGAUGCUCAGGAAGAAUCCCUCCCCCACGCGUGGGAGCCAGCGAGCAGCAAAGGGGCCACGUGAGCGAACCAGCGCUUCUCAACAGGAAUGGAGGGGAAAUGCUGUUUAGUAUAGGAAAUUAAGUUAUUCAUGCUGUUCGUGGCGUGCGUGAGCUCAGCCUUUACCCCGGAACCCGUCUGCAUUUCAUCUGCGAGGAUUAACGUCUGUCAAAGGGGCGUCGCUGCAGGAUCACAGUGCUCGCGUCCCCGCCGGGCCCGAGGGCAGGACAGCAUCUGUGUGCGCGUUUGCUCAUGAAGCGGCCUCAGUAUCACUGCCCCACUUCAAAGGGCUCUUUUCUGGGCCUCGCUCUUCCUCUCAAUCUCUCUCUCGCAGCUAUCGGUCCAAACCAGGAGGUGAGGGUCAAUUUUAAGCCAUUUUGGAGGAGGAUUUGAAUGAACCGAACGCCCUCCAGGGGGAGAGCCCGAGCUCUGGUCCUCCGUGAACGUCUCUUACGCAGGAUUCGGGUUUCGCACGUUCUUUCAAUCACCCACCUCAUGACCAAGAAGGUCCACUGAUACCACGGAAAUACAAAGGACCUUAGGAGACUGCUGUGAACAACCCCACACCACCUAGAAGAAAUGGAGAAAGUCCUCGGAACAAUUUUCUGAGACUGAAUCAUGCAGAAAUAGAAAAUCUGAAUAGCCUGGUUAUAAGAAGAUUAAAUUAAGUCUGAAAAUUUAACUCAAUCUGAUAAUCCUCCCAACAAACAGAAGUCCAGGGCCAGGUGGUUUCACUGGUGAAUUCUACCCGGCGCUCAAAGAAGAUCCAGGACCUGUCCUCAAGCCAUCCCGAAACACUGAAGGGGAGGGAACGCUUCCAAACUUACUUCAUGAGGCCAGCGUCACCCUGAGGCCCAAACCAGACAAAGACACCACAGAAAAGAAAGCUAUAGGCCAAUACCCCCGAUGAACACAGAUGCAGAAAUCCUCAACAAAACAUCAGCAACAGGAUGAAUUCGUUUGGCUAAGUGUUUAAGGCACGGCCACAUCCUUACUUUGCUUUGUGCUGGGUGGAGCCAGUCGUGAAGUCGUGCAACGGUCUCUCCUGUUGUUCCUUUGCUGUCACUGACUGUUUGAAACGUCGCCCCGAGUAGCCCAGAUCCGACGUGACUUCCCUGUCCCGACCCGGCCAAGCAGAUAACAGAUCCUGACAUUCCGACGCUCAAUGCUGGGCUCUAACAAGCCGGUUUGGAAACCUAGACAGCGGGCCUCGCGGGGUGAAGACGGAGGCUUCCAACAACCGCAUUUCGCGGGUCGAUUGCGCUCGCGUUUUGUCUGCAGAAUUCAAUUUCAAUAAAAUUGAUUCUUUAACAAAAAACACUCCAGACGCUGAUAGGAUGUUUACAAGAAACCUUCAAAUUUUCAACCAUUGGGAAGGCAGAGGGACAGACAGCUCCAAAUUUUAAUAAAAACCUAAGCUGUGGGCGAAGACCAAAUGGGGUGGGUGCGGAAAGCGAAGGUACCCGAGGAGCCUGUUGCUCCUUAAGAGAGUCACCGAAGGAAAUCGAUAACUUUGCGCUUCAGAUGCUGAAUAAAGAUGCUACUUUCCUGGGUGGCUUUAUAAGAGGAAAGGCCUGAGGUCCCUGAAAGGCCUCAAGCGCUGCUCGCCGUUCGUACGCGGCUUUUCUCUCUGCACUGAGGACGUCUCUCGUAACGCUGAUUUACAGACGCACUUAAAAGGGGCAGCUGGAAAGGGCGCUCUUGGGGGUGGGUGUCCCCCGUGGGAGGAGCAGUCACGGGGAGACCUUCCGCUAAGCUUCCCGGUGUCGGAGACGCAGGGGUGUCGACCUGAGUGUUCGGGGGGCGGGGCUGCCGUCCGGGGGCUGCCGCUUUCCGCCCGCUCGGUUCUGCUCCCCUCGCACUUUCUAAACAGCUUUGCUGAGGCGAACACUUUUCAUAGACGCCCGUGCUCGAGUCAGCGGUGCCCAGAACGGCGCACGGACUGACGGAGCGGGAACUGCUCUCGUGUGGCCGUCGGUCACUCAAGAGAGAGAGGUAAAAAGUCUAAGCUCCAGCAAGGCAGAUAAAAAAGACAGUAUUUUUAGUGAAACGUUAAUAUAACAGAUGAACUUUUCUGGCAGUAAAUUAUAGGCUUGUUUUUUUGCUAAGAGCCCUUCAAAACAAUUUGGCUUGCCAGAGAAUCAUCACAGUCCACAGACUCAGGCCCCAUACAGCCCAACCCGUUCACGUGUCGGCUGUUUCCAUGCGUCCGUCAUAGGGGAACGACUGCUAUGUGGAUAUUUUUUCUGAAAGAUUAUUUGUGUGAAAAAGGAAAGUAAGAACGUCGCCGUAAAUACCUGUCCCCUUUGCCGAUGGAUUACUUCUGCCAUCGCCCUUUGCUCUGUGAGAGCCAGGAGAGGGGUUUGAGACCAAACGUCUCUCAAGGGUGGGGAGCGUGAAGAUACUUUAUUUGUAGUUAAAACCAAUUCUUCACUUAAUUCUUCAUUUUGAACAAUUGAUAACUAUUUGUCAAAGGAACUGACUGGCCAAAAGCUGGGGAUAGGGGCACAGUAGACCCUGAGCAACACGGGUCGGGGCGCUGACCCUCACGCAGUGGAAAAUCUGUGGAGAUCCGCUGACUCCCUGAAACUUUAGUCGGCCCGCGUUAUCUGCAGGGUACUGGUCCAGGACGCCCUCGGGCACCCAAACCCGCAGAUGCUCCUGCAUCCGUCUGCCUGUCUGCCUGUCUGUCAGGGCCCCUGAUGUCCAGGAACGCAGCCGCCCUGAAGCCUUCAGGGUUACUAGUCACCCGUUUACGCGAAGCACCUGUCAACCUCGAAUCUAAAGGCAUGAGCGGCCCUCAAAGAAAGUCACGGGGGGCGAAUAUCAACUUCGCCAUCAAAAAAGCGUCCCACGGGCCUUUCAUGCCGGGGCCUCGGGCCCAUGACCAUCUUCCCCGCGUGAGUGUAGAAACUUGCCCCUGCGCCAGGUUCCGCAUCCGUGACAUGAGCAUCCUCACGUCGUCCUCACCUGGCUGCUGAAUCGCAGAGAAGCCCCUGGUUCCUUCGGGCCCCCCAGACUCUGCGCCCUUAGAGCGCCAUGCGGGCGAGAUCGUGCACCGCCUGCCUUCAGCUAUGGACCUGGCGUCCGCAGGCGCUCAAGUAUCUGCCGAACAAAUAAACGGGUGAAUGAAAGCCUGGCACCCACGGGGUCGGGAGAGAGACACCGUCCCAGCGCCCGUGGACAUUACAGCUCGGGAUGUGUUAAUAAAAUGAGGCGACACAUUUAAGCGGCAGCCUGGGAGAAACAUAAUGGACCUGCCCGCGCCGAGCACAGCACGUCGUUUCUGAGAAAUUAUUUCCCUCUAAAAUCAAACACGCCUCUAUCAACCGUCUCGGCAGCAGCUGAAACGGGACUUUCUAACGCCCUGGGAGCCAAGCCCGGCCGCCCGUGUCUGAGAAAUUCAAACCAGGAAAAGCCGCCGGCCAAGGGCUGGGCCUAGAUGGUGCAGAAGCAGGGUGUUUAAAUGUGAACAAUGAUGCGAACGGGAAACUCGGCUGCGUUCUGCUGACGUGGGGGCCGCCCCCUCCAACCUGGUCUGUUUCUGAACCGACGGAGAUGAGAAGGACUCCGUCCCCGUCGUCCUCAGCGAUUCGACAGCUGAAGGAACGUUUCCGAAGGUCCUGUUUUUCUUGCAGGGGAACUAGAAUAUUUACGCUGUAAGUACUAUGAAGUCAAGACCACUCUAAAAAUGUCUCCGUUACGAAAGCCCGUGAUGUUACUGACAAAACGUUAGAGAGACGGCCGAGGAAGGUCAUUCCCCGGGUUUCAGUGGUGCGACACACAAUCCAGAAAUUACACAACGUUUUAAAGGACCGGCUGCCCGCUGGUUGCUGUCCAGCUGUUGAGGGCAGAGCCUGGGGCACUUGCCUGUGUCCCUACGUCACGGCCCAGUGGAGCCGGCAAGAGCCGGUAUUCAGUAAAUAUUUAUAAAAUCAAUUCAUGGUUCAAGCUUUAAACGUGGACUUUUCGACCCACCUGGAAAAGCGACCGCGUACUCUUUGGAAAGCCUGGAAGAGAACCUAGAGGAGGGAGAAUGUCUGGUGGCUGAAGAUGUUUUUCUUAAGGGACGAACAGUGUUGGAAAAGUCUACAGUCGCCGCUGGUUUCGGCCCCCUUAGCGGUUCCUGAAAAACCUUAGAGAGCUGCGACACUGACGGACAUUAAGGACUGGCCAGCCUCCUUGACGGCAACCGGGAAAUCACAGUGGUUAUCCCGGCCCCGCGUCAAUGACUCGGAGAGGCUGCCCUUCAAGGGGAGCCGAACGCCGGCAGGCGGGUAGAAAGGCACUUCCUUCGCUCCAGAGAAAUAAAACUACGUUUCCGUGUCUCGGCGUGUUUCUGGCCGUUACGGCCGAGGACUUCCAGCCGUUGAACAGGAUCCCACCGCACGUCUUCUGCAAUCUGUAACCGCCCCGCCACGAGCAAGCUCAUGCUGGGCCCCUCGGGAAAGUCCUGAAGAGGGAGUCAGAUCCGGUCUCUGGGUGGCCCUUGGCCGACGUCCGUCAUGACCGUUUCCCUAGCAGGGGGACAGGAAAGGCUCUCGGUCAGCGAGAGCAGCUGCACAGAGAGCCCGAGGCUGGGGCCGGAGCCAGGGAAGCGUGUUCUUCACGGGCCCGGAGGCCCGGAGGCCCAGGUCCAGGUCCAGGUGCGGGGCUGGUGUCACUCCAGGGCACCCGCGCUCUCGGCGUGGUCACUGGGACGCCCAUGCAAGAGGGUCAGACGGGGCGGAGUCUAACCCGUCCUCGGGGGUCAUUUUUUAUUUCAACCAAAGGAUGCUGCUAAGAGUCAAAGGAAAGACGGCCCAACUGAGCUGGACGGACGCUGGCUUCCGAGGGGUCGGCACGUGUCCCCGUCUGGAGCGGCCACCGCGUCCGUAGGAGGUUCACGCACUUCUACCAGGUACAGAGCGGGGACGACACUCUCCUCCAAGUGGACUCGGGGCAACCGGUUUGUGGUGUUAGAAACAAUACUCCCGUCCUAACGAGUGACUAGUGGAAAAUUCUGUUACGUAUACAAAUUUCAGCAGGUGUGUGGUUUAAUUAAAUUAUGGAUUUUUUUUUUUAAAAUGGUACAAGUGUUACAAUACUGCCUGCCUGAGAGCCACACGGUGAUUAAGUGACGUUCCAGGGAGCUCUGUUUGAAAAGAAAUUCAUUGUCACGUGCCCACUCCUUCUUUAUGGAACUGUCUACCUGACAUUUUACAUUUACAAACAUCGUAAGCAUAGUGCAAUUAAAUUUCAGAAAAUAACAAAAUGAUGAAAAAUAGUGAGAGAUGGAAAUUUAAAGUACCGAGACGUUACAGAUAUAUUCACACGGGAGUGCUAUCUCUUCCGUUGGUAAUCAAUUAACAAUCUGGACACAUUAGACGUGCAUUUAAAAUAAUUAAUUCUGUGUUUCCCCAUGUGAACGAGGCUGGCUGGAGACAGACAAUCGUAUUAGGAUUAGAUUAGGUAGGCGUUCCCCGUGAAAACAGCCCUGUUCUCCAACCCGCAAACCCAAACAAGCAAUCUCUAUAGUUCCCUGAGUGUCAUUAAACUACCCAAUAAAUUAUUAAGAUUUGUUAAAGCAAAAUAGACACAGCUGCAGCUCUGUCAACAGAACAGAUGGUCAAUAGUGAAUUUUCAAAUAAUCAUUUCCUAAAUCGACAAGAAGAGUCAGUUGGACAUUUGGCAAACAGAACCAUACGACCCUGUGUGAAGAGAUCCAUUCAAGUCAUCGGCGUGAAAAUCCACAUUCAUUUCUCUGUUAAGAAAGUCAGAAUAGCCAAACUAGCGUGUGCAUGUUAAUGUAUUUUUUAAACGUUUGUUGGGGUCAUAACAUGUUCUAUUAAUAUGAAUUUUAAUAAAUAAGAAUCCAUUAUACCUGAA